UGAUCCAUUUCAAUGGGUCGUCAAGCAUAUAUGCACAGUUUUAUCCCCAACAUAUCUAUCAAAAUGUUAUCAAAGUACCAAUCCUGUGUAUAGAAUACCUAACACAUUAACAUCUAAGGCUAAGCAAAUCAUAAAGACAGAAUUUAAUUGAGGUAAAAAAAAAAGUCUACAUCUGCUCUUGUCUUUCAAAUAUAAUUUAAACUUUAAAUAAAAGAGCGUUUAUGAAGGAAUAUAGGUCGGCAUGGUCAAUCUGGACAGGAUUUUGGGUCAGCCAAAAAAAAAAGGAUGAAUUGAAAUCCCGCACGAUCCUCCAUUCAAAACUCGCGCCCUCUAGAUCAUCAAGCAAGAAGCAACAGUGUUCAAUGUGAUAGUGGUGAGCGGUGUAGCGUGGAUGUGUGCGUCCAUCAAUCUUUCGCAGCUACGCCUUUCCGUGAGGCGGCUGGAGCAGGAAAUCGCCGAGCCGUGCUGCAGAGAGGAAAGGAUGGCAGGUGGUGCCGCGGUGAACACUCCCAACACAUGCAGGAGGAAAG